AUGCUAGGGUUCCACCUACACAGCCUCUUCCAGGAAAGAAAGGCCUCUUUGGAACUAAUCUCUCCAGAAGCCAGGAAAGGAAGGCCAGCUACUAACUCACCCAAGAUGAAGUCCAAAGGAGUAAAACCAGGAGCAGUCCUACAAGAAACAGCCCAAGAGCCAAAGUCAAGGUCCAAACCAAAGGUCAAGUUCAAAGCCAUCUCCAAAAGCGAAGUCACCAGGAGAAGAUCCAAGGCAAAGAUCCCAGCUGAAGAUUUUCUGGACAGGAAGUUCAGAACUUUUUAUAGUCCUUUUUUCACUAUUUUCUCCUUGGCCUGGGAACUCUUGAAUUUGACUAUCAUAUUCUCGGGAGUCGUCAUUUGCAGAUCUAUUGCAGGAGUUGGAAAACCUGAGGCAAACAGAGGUAAAGUGACUUGCCUAGGGUCACACAGCUAAUAUCCAAGGCCGAAUUUGAAUUCACGUCUUCCUGAAUCCAGGUCCAGCGUUCUAUCCACUGCACUACCUAAUUGCCCCUGCGAGGAGAUUUGUGUUAACCAAGAUUACAAACCAGUAUGUGCCAGGUGGGAAUUGAGCCAUGGUCUUUACUGACUUUGAGAAUAAUUAUUUAUUCAACAUCAUUCCUCUCUUAAAUAUAUAAUAUAUUGCUAAACAAACCCAUAUCUCUUUUGAAAUUAUAAUUAUAUAGUCCUGUACUACCGUUAUACUCUAACAAUUCAUCCUGGUAUGGAGAUGAACCUGAGUUCUCAAAGGCUAUGUCAGUGGGGUAUAAACUUUGACAGAUUCUCCCAUUUGGAAAGGCUUAGAAUACAAACCUGAUAAUCAACUAUGUGUCUGUCCUUAGAGGAACAACCUUUGUAAUAUAAAGCUGCUCAUCACUGGAAUUGCCUGAAGAUGAUGAAUUAUUUGUUUUGGUUAUAUCAUCUUUCAAAAAUUAUCUCCUAAAUUUUAGAGAUGUAUAGCAGAUUAAAAUCAGACCUCAACCAAACACAGUGAAGCUCACAGCUGGUGUAAAGGUGUGUCAUAGCUCCAAGGUAGGAGUAUUUCCAGGGAGUGUAUAAGGUCUGCGUACCUAUUACUCAGACUAUGCAGAAUGACUGUGCAAACUACAUGGGCUUCUUGAGUAGGCCUUGAAAAACCAUAGGAAGCUGCACUCAAUAAAAUAAAUGCUUCGAUCA
rnacentral:lncRNA from 1 species